GUCUUCCUCCCGCCCUCCCUGAGAGUGAAAGAGCCCCGCAGAGACCAUCGGGCAUGGAUGCUGAACUGCUGGGAAGGGAGCUCAGGCUUUUUCUUUUUAGUCCCCAAGAGAAGAAUUCUUUCUCAGAUGUUUUUGUGGUUGGAGAAUAUUUUUGCCAUUGCUUUGAGAAGACUUCCCCUCCUAACUCCCCCUCUUUCCUUGGAAUUUCCUUCCUUAAAUGGAAAGCCUUCAACAUUCACUCCAAGCUCACCCUUUUGCUCCCCCCAGGAAAAAUAACAAGCAAACAGAGGUGCUUGCCCAGGGUCCCUGGAGGGGCUUCCCUUAGAGGGUUGAGUUCCAGAAUAAAUUCUACAGCGGGACCGGUUUCAAGUUCUUACCCUUCUCCUUCGAGCAUAUUCGGGAAGGGAAGUUUGAAGAGUGAGUCCCUGUGAGGGCCGUGUGCCCCAUGCUGCCCUCCCCGCCUCCCUCCACAGUGAUCAGCUGUGCUUCUGUGCCUGUUGGUUGUGAUCUGUGGGCACCAGCUCAUUCGUGUCACCCCGUCUGUGAGUCAUUUAGAUAGAAUAGUCCUCCUUGGGUCUCCCACCUCCCCUAGCUUUGUGCGUAGUGUAGUGAUUUUCUGGCUGUCACUCAUACCCACUGGGCAGCAGCCUUGCCCUCUUAGCCUCCAUCCAUCCAGACAGCCCUUCCCACUUCCUGGUGGUGAGCCAGUCUGCAUUCCCACGCCAUCCCAAAGCCCUUUCAUCUUCCCCGUGCAUUGUAGAUGGAAGGAGCACCCAUACCAUUCACAUCUAGUCUUUGAGUUCCCUGCAUCUGCCACCGUAGUUUCUAGCAGGAGUAGUCGGGGGAGCAAUACAGGUUCUCCCCUAGAAGGGGACACUGGUAACAUGUCCCACUCUUGGAUUAGCAGGGGUGGGUCCAGGAAGAUGAUAUUUGCGUCUUUUGCCCACCCCCCUCUCGUGCUUGUUAAUCAGGCAUUCAGCUGGACCCAACUAGGCCAUCAUGAGUGGCUUCUCCCUGUCAUCCCCAGGGGUCAUAGGAUAUCUUCACCGCCUUUCUGACCCCACCCUGCACUCCCAUCCUCUCCUCUCUCCCCAUUCAUGCCCUGCACUACAUAGCACAGCCGGGAUGCUUGGAACAGAGGCCUUGGCUGCUCUGCAGUGCACAGGGCUUCCCUCUCCCGGGGUUGGCUUCUUCCCAGGCCUUGCAUGGGCCCUGCCCACAAGCACACCCUCGGGCCGAGGGUGCAGACUGAUGCUAUUUCCUGGUGGAGACCCUGAGAUCUUCCCCACCCCCAAUCAUGAUGUCUUCAAUGUGGGACUGGGGUCCUCUUGGUUCUGCCUGCAGCCUGCCUGGCUCCGCCCCCAGUGCCCCCUCCUCACCACACUGGCCCCAGGUCUCAGGAGGGGUGUCCUGGGCAGGGAAGGUCAGUGUCACUGAUGGUUUGCUGUUUGGAAGCCAUUGGCAGGGCUGCCGUGCCUGUGGCUGUGAGGGCUGCACAGUCCUGCCAAGGGGCUUCCUCCCCGUCACCCCGAACCUCGUAAUCAUGUGCUGGCGUGGCAGCCCUGGCUAAGUGAAUCUCCACCGCUUUCAGUGGUAGAAAGAAUUCCCUGAGUGGGCCAGGCUGGUGCCCUCCUCCCACCCUGGCCUGGAGCCCUCAUCCCCUCUCCCAGGCUGGGCUGGUCCUGGGCGGGGCCGCUGUGUGCUGGCCCACUGUGACCUGAUCCGACCUUGUGCAGCCCCCCUACCCCGACCUUGUGCAGCCCCCCUGCCUUGGUGUCCGGGGUUUUUGUGAUGAUCUUUGCUCUGUUUCCAGUGGGGUUUGAAGCAGAGUUCAGGGAACCCUGCCCAAGGCCCUCCUGUUCAGACAUUCCUAUGUUGAAUAAAGUACGUUUGACUCCCCCA
rnacentral:sRNA from 1 species